rnacentral:tmRNA from 1 species
GGGGGUGAAAGGGUUCGACUUAAGUAUGUCGGAUAAAAGCAGCGUGCCGCGGACGCAGGGUUUACCGCGUAAAACAUCCUUGCACAAUCUAAACGCAAAACCAGUAAUGGUUAACCGUUUGGCACCAAUGGCAACAUUGAUGCCUGCGGGCGUCCCAGUCUUCGGCCUUAAUUAGGCUGAAGCCUCUCGUCAGGUAGCCUGUGACCUGGAUGAGAGCCUUAACAGGCUGGUCCUUUGACGCGCCUUACGGCAAAGGAUGAGAGUUUAAAAGGCUGCUACCUUAAGGAUUCUGUCAAGCGAAGCCUUAAGGUUUAAGACAAAUGAUUGACUACGCAUGUAGCGGCUUUUAUGCGAUUGCUUAGGGACGGCGGUUCAAUUCCGCCCACCUCCACCA